CCUUCCGGGCUGGCGCACGAGCGGCCGCGCGCGGGCCGCCCGCCCCCUGUGCCGUAGCGGCGCUUGGGUUUCGCCCUUGGCUUCCAUCUGGCGCCCGCGAACGAGCGCCGAGGCCGCUGGGCCGGCACCUGCACGGUCGCCCCGCCGCCCCGGGUCCUCGGACGGCACGGCUGGUGGCCGCGCCCAGGCCUCCGACUUCUUCGAAACCGCUGCAGUUUCAGAUCUCGGGAUCUGAGGGUCGUUUCAGCGGUUGCUGGCGAGGACGUCUAGGCCCGCAGUCGCUGGAACAUUGGUUACACGGCAGAGAAUGAGGAAUGGACCCCUUUCUGUUUCACACGUGGGGCUUGAGGAUACCAUACAGAAGCUUGCUAUGUUUUCAGCCACAUCAGUUGUGAGCAGAGGGGACUUCACAGGGGGUGAAGACGAUCAGCUGUGUGAAGGACUUACUGCCACAGGCUUCGGCUCGGCGCCUCUACUUACCAGCCUGCAGGUUAUCUGCGUCUGGUCUGUAGCACAAUCUGGAAUAUAUUCAGUACCUUGAAGGUGGCAGAUCCAGGUUAAAAAGACAGAAGUCAAAGUAAGAGCCUUCUAGGGUGACCUCACAUGGGGCUUUGAUGGUAUUCAUAGAUGUCUGCUCUAUCAAGAUACCACUCACCACCUCUCCCAUCACCUCUGUUACCCAGGAAAGGAUGUGAUUUGCAACCCAGAAACAGAGGCAGGAAGUCUGGAAAGUCACCAAUCUGUGGGUAUCUAAUUUGUCAUGUGAAAAAGGGCACAGGCCUCGGGGUCUAACCAGACCUUGAUCUCCAGGUCCACUUCUUAAUACCCAAAUGACCUUCAGAGUCCUUUGUUUCCUCAUCUGUAAAAUCAACAACAUUCACGCAUUCGAUCGUUUUUUAUUAAUUCUCUAUGCGCUACGUGCUGUGAAUCCCAGCGACGAACAAGAUAAACCCGUGUUCUUGCCCUCCUAGAGCUUAGCACCACUGCUGCCCUGCCCCAAAUAA